GCAACCAUGGUCUAGAUGGUCAUGACGGCCGCCUAACACGCGGCAGGUCCCCAGUUCGAGUCUGGGUGGUUGUA